rfam:Apaloderma vittatum contig42138, whole genome shotgun sequence.
GGCCGGUUAGCUCAGUCAGUUAGAGCUUGGUGCUGAUAACACCAAGGUCGCGAGUUUGAUCCCUGUUCUGUCCC